rnacentral:rRNA from 1 species
UUAAGCCAUGCAAGCCUUAGAGUAACCUAUUGAAUAGGAGGUCUGCGAACGGCUCAUUAUAUCAGAGAUAAUUUACCGGGAGAAUCGCAGCUUGUCUGCCAAUGGAUACCCCCGCGAAACGCGGGGCUAAUACAUGUAUGAAUGCGGCUCGCUCCGUCCAGCGCGGCAGCGUGCCGCGUGGGGCGACCGUGCGGAUGGUUGCGAGUAAGACCCGCGGCCUGUUGGCCAGCGUCCCAAAGCGAUGAAUCAGACCAUUCAGCGAAAGCCGCUUCGGCGGCGUGUCCCGACAAAUCUCUGCUCUAUCAGCUCUUUGACGGUAGUGUAGUGGACUACCGUGGCGAUAACGGAUACGGGGAAUUAGGGUUCGAUUCCGGAGAGGGAGCCUGAGAAAUAGCUACCACUUCUACGGAGGGCAGCAGGCGCGUAAAUUGUCCAAUGCCGAAUCGGCGAGACAGCGAAGAAAAAUAGCGACCCCGUGCCAUUGGUGCGGGGCUUGCGAUGGGUGGUACUUACAAACACCAACGAGAACCAAUUGGAGGACAAGUCUGGUGCCAGCACCCGCGGUAAUUCCAGCUCCAAUAGCGUAUAUUAACGUUGCUGCUGUUAAAGGGUUCGUAGUUGAACUCAGGGCAGGGAGACUCCGGUGCUCUGGCACCCGUUCGCCCCUGCCCUGUCAUAGACGGGGCCGCGUCCAGCCUUGCGCCCUUGAGUGGGGGCGUGGCGCCUUCGGGACCGGGCGAGGCGUGCCCGCGGACCGCCCGUCGUUCUCACCGUGAAUAAAACAGCGUGUUCAAAGCAGCUUCGGCUGAAUGACAAAGCAUGGAAUGACAGAGGAUCGACCAGCCUGGUCGUGCUUUUGUUGGUUUUACCGCCCAGUUGGGUAACUUGCCUGCGGCCGCUUCCGGCGGCGCCGCUUGGCACGGGAUUAGCGGGGGUUGUCGGGGGGAAAACGUAUUCGGGCGUGAGAGGUGAAAUUCUUAGACCGCCCGAGGACGAACUUAUGCGAAGGCAUUUUCCAAGUAUACCUUCAUCAAUCAAGAACUAAAGUGUGGAGAUCGAAGAUGAUUAGAUACCAUUGUAGUCCACCACUGCAAACGAUGACGCCCAUGGAUCGGACAGCAUUUUGCUCGAUGGGAUCUUUUCGGCACUGCUUCCUUCAACGCGAAAGCUGAGGCUUUGGUCUCAUGGGGAAGUACGUUCGCAAGGCUGAAACUUAAAGAAAUUGACGGAAUGGCACUACCAGACGUGGAGUGUGCGGUUUAAUUUGACUCAACACGUGGAACCUUACCAGGUCAGGACAACGGAAGAAUUGACAGAUUGAAGCUCUUUCUUGAUUCGUUUGACGGUGGUGCAUGGCCGCUUUUGGUCGGUGAAGUGAUUUGUUUGGUUGAUUCCUUUAACGGACGAGACCCAGGCCGUACGUUAGGGCCGCCGUCACGCUCAGCACGGCGCUCCCCCGGGGGCAGCCGGGCGGUUGGCCCUUCCCUUCGGGAUCCCUAGCGCUUAGCUGGGUGAAAUUCUGGGCAACAGCAGGUCCGUGAUGCUCCUAAAUGUCCUGGGCGACACGCGCACUACAAUGACAAAGUGAAUGAGUGGAACCCUCGGGUCCUGCCUCGACAGAGGUGGGAAAACUGUGAAAACUAUGUCGUGCUUGGGAUCGAAGCUUGCAAUUAUUCUUCUUGAACGAGGAAUGUCUAGUAGGUGUUCGUCAUCAACGAACGCUGACUACGUUCCUGCCAUUUGUACACACCGCCCGUCGUUGUUACUGAUGCCAUUUUGAUACAGGUCGACGGACGCUCUUUUACUCAGCGGAGCGGAAGUCGACCGAUAUUAAAAUAGUAGCAGAAGCAAAAGUCGUAACAAGGU